rnacentral:rRNA from 1 species
GACGAACGCUGGCGGCGUGCUUAACACAUGCAAGUCGAACGGUGAAGCGCCUUCCUUUUUGGUGGGUGUGGAUGAGUGGCGAACGGGUGAGUAACACGUGAGUAACCUGCCCCCUUCUUCUGGAUAACCGCAUGAAAGUGUGGCUAAUACGGGAUAUUCUGGGUCUGUCGCAUGAUGGGUCUGGGAAAGAUAUUGUUUCGGUGGGGGAUGGGCUCGCGGCCUAUCAGGUUGUUGGUGGGGUGAUGGGCUACCAAGGCGGUGACGGGUAGCCGGCCUGGGAGGGUGGACGGUCACACUGGGAGUGAGACACGGCCCGGACUCCUACGGGAGGCAGCAUUGGGGAAUAGUGCGCAGUGGGCGCAAGCCUGAUGCAGCGACGCCGCGUGAGGGAUGGAGGCCUUCGGGUUGUGAACCUCUUUCGCCAGUGAAGCAGGCCUGCCUCGUUUGUGGGUGGGUUGACGGUAGCUGGAUAAGAAGCGCCGGCUAACUACGUG